UACGAAGGGGGCUAGCGUUGCUCGGAAUUACUGGGCGUAAAGCGCACGUAGGCGGCUUUCUAAGUCGGGGGUGAAAUCCUGGAGCUCAACUCCAGAACUGCCUUCGAUACUGGAGAGCUCGAGUCCGGGAGAGGUGAGUGGAACUGCGAGUGUAGAGGUGAAAUUCGUAGAUAUUCGCAAGAACACCAGUGGCGAAGGCGACUUACUGGACACAUAUUGACGCUGAGGUGCGAAAGCGUGGGGAGCAAACAGG
rnacentral:rRNA from 1 species